rnacentral:rRNA from 1 species
AUUGAACGCUAGCGGGAUGCCUUACACAUGCAAGUCGAACGGCAGCACGGACUUCGGUCUGGUGGCGAGUGGCGAACGGGUGAGUAAUGUAUCGGAACGUGCCUAGUAGCGGGGGAUAACUACGCGAAAGCGUAGCUAAUACCGCAUACGCCCUACGGGGGAAAGCAGGGGAUCGCAAGACCUUGCACUAUUAGAGCGGCCGAUAUCGGAUUAGCUAGUUGGUGGGAUAACGGCUCACCAAGGCGACGAUCCGUAGCUGGUUUGAGAGGACGACCAGCCACACUGGGACUGAGACACGGCCCAGACACCUACGGGUGGCAG